AGCAGCCGCGGUAAUUCCAGCUCCAAUAGCGUAUAUUAAAGUUGUUGCAGUUAAAAAGCUCGUAGUUGAAUUUCGGGAUUAGUACGUUGGUCGUGCCUUGGUACGUACUGGUGUAACUGAUUCCUCCCUUCUGACGAACCGUUAUGCCAUUAAUUUGGUGUGGCGGGAAAUCAGGACUGUUACUUUGAAAAAAUUAGAGUGUUUAAAGCAGGCUCGCGCUUGAAUACAUUAGCAUGGAAUAAUGAAAUAGGACGUUAAUCCUAUUUUGUUGGUUUCUAGGAUCGACGUAAUGAUUAAUAGGGAUAGUUGGGGGCAUUAGUAUUCAAUUGUCAGAGGUGAAAUUCUUGGAUUUAUUGAAGACUAACUACUGCGAAAGCAUUUGCCAAGGAUGUUUUCAUUAAUCAAGAAUGAAAGUUAGGGGAUCGAAGACGAUCAGAUACCGUCGUAGUCUUAACCAUAAACUAUGCCGACUAGGGAUCGGAUGAUGUAAUUUUUAAUGACUCAUUCGGCGUCUUACGGG
rnacentral:rRNA from 1 species